GCACCACGCAGGAACGAUGGUUUUCCCGGGAGCGCCCGGGGAUGACAACAGGGAACGCGGUGCAACCCCGCGGCUGCCCCCGCAACUGUAAGCGGCGAGCGGAUUUGCAACCUGCCACUGGCCACCCGGCCGGGAAGGCGCAAACCCGCAGUGACCCGCAAGCCAGGAGACCUGCCAUCGUGACGUGCAACUG
rnacentral:ncRNA from 1 species